rnacentral:rRNA from 1 species
AAAUUGAAGAGUUUGAUCAUGGCUCAGAUUGAACGCUGGCGGCAGGCCUAACACAUGCAAGUCGAACGGUAACAGGAAGCAGCUUGCUGCUUCGCUGACGAGUGGCGGACGGGUGAGUAAUGUCUGGGAAACUGCCUGAUGGAGGGGGAUAACUACUGGAAACGGUAGCUAAUACCGCAUAACGUCGCAAGACCAAAGAGGGGGACCUUCGGGCCUCUUGCCAUCGGAUGUGCCCAGAUGGGAUUAGCUAGUAGGUG